ACUACCCUGAUAGCAGACUACUCCGAUCCGGAUCCGUUUUACCUCCGGCAGAUCCGCGCUACAGUCAGGUCUGUUUAGUGGAUCUGGUCCGGCUUCACUCCGGGUUCGGGUUAUGAUUGUGACUCACGUUCAGAUCCGUUUUACUGACGGUAAAUCCGCAUAACAGUCCGUCUCAUUUCACGCCUUCCAUAUGACUUCGGCACGGAGUCAGAUACCAGAUGUGAGUUCAGUGUCAGUUCAGUGUCGUUUUGCGGAUCCGGGCCGCAUCGGCGGAGCGGCACAGGAGCGGGAGAAAUUCAAACUCAGCGCGAGGACCAACUGACAUCUGCUGAAUCUGCGCUUCAGGUGUAAUCAUUUACCCAUCAAAUCACCUAACAAGGAUCAGCCUGGAUCCUAACAGUACUUGAUGCACUGAGCAGUGACAUUAUACAUAGAGUAGUUAAGCAGGAUUUGGUAUCCGCGAAAUGGUUCGAGGUCCUCAGCCCUCGCCUCCCCCAGCACAGAGGAAACUACCAAGGGCGGUACUCUCAUUUAAAAGUAUCUAAGAGUAAUGGCACAAUUUCAUGUCUUCCAGAUGCUUGCAUGCUGGUAGUCGGCAAGCGGCUCCCUGGGGCGCAUUGCCAAAGCAGGAACCCCGGCACCAUCGCCCUCCACGUGGGGAUGAGCUUUCGGGAGCGACCGGCCCCGUUCCACAGAGACAGGCUUCUCUCUGUGAACAUCGAGGCGGUGCUACGCUGAGACUGACUGUCUCUACCCAGUCACACCAGCCAAGCUGCACUGUAGUGGUGUUAAGUGUCCAAGAAUGCUCUCAUCAGUGGAGGCACAGCUGGCUGCAAAAAACGUCUGUGUCUGCAUGUUUAUAUUAUGUGAAUUAAAAAUGGUUUUAUUAUUAAAAUAAUUGUAUUAAUGCCUGUUGAUUUAUAAAUUGUUUAAUUGAAAUCAAAUUUUAUUUA